rnacentral:lncRNA from 1 species
CAUGUACAGAUCUGCUGUAAGGGCUGGAAACUUGGCAUUUUCAUACAGAGCCAAAAUUUGAUGUGCUCAAAGAAAACUUUAAGUUAGAAAUGUUACUCUGGUUUUUAUGAAUUUUCUAGCAGUUGAGGGAAUGGGUUCUUGUAAAUACAGUUACUCCUAGUUUUCUUCCUGAAAACCAUAUGUAAAAUAUAUAUAUGGUCUUCAAAUGGAAGGUUUUUUUGUUUUUUUUUAGCUGUGCCUCUGUGGGCUGAGUGACCGUGACCGCAAGGUGGCUCAUGGAGAACUGGUGGGUGUGCAACUGCUACUGGAAGAUGUUCUGAGUAGCUAUCAUGUGACCAUGGAGGCCCCCCAAAGACAGCAAGCCACACUGGGCAAAAAUACACAGCCAGAUUGGUCCAAAGUGCCAGGAUUCAGAAGUCAGUUCCGAAGCAGCCCAAAGACCUCUGAGCUGCUGGAGGGCCUGUGCGAUGCGGUGAUGUCCUUUGCUUUGCUGAGAUCAUUUCUGAUACUGUGGAAGC